UGAGACCUAGCAGUGUAGCAGGUCGGAAUGGUUGUCUUCCAGCCGAAACGGCCACUUUUUUGGGGAGGAAGAGCGCAGGUUGGUUGACUGUUGUCAGGCGCUUACCGAGGGCCUGUCGUGUGCGGGCCGGGGUGGUGCUAACGGCCACCACAGGCAGGUCGCCGACUCCUACUGCUCCGUCACCCUCCGGCGCGGGGCCUCCUGUUCUCCUUGGCCUGGGGGAGGCUCCUGGGAGCUCCCGGAAGGCGGGCGCGGCAAAGGGGCGGCGGGCCGGGAGAGGCGCCGGGCGGCGGGGCGGGCCCGCGGAGGCCACACCCUGAAACUACCUGCUCGGGGCAGGAAGGCCGGGCGGCAGCGCGACCGCAGCUGGUGGACCUGCGCCGGAGCUCGGCCCGCCCCGCGUCCCCGGCGGACCCCGCCGCCCCAGGGUCCCCGGCGAGCCCCGCGACCCCAGAGUCCCGGGCGCGCCCCGCGCCCUCCUCCCACCGCGGACGACCCCGAGCCCCGGCGUCCCCGGUGUCGCCCCCGCGCCCUCCGCGUCCCCAGUGUCCCCCGUGUUCCCGGUGUCGCCCCCGCGCCCCCUGCGUCCCGAGGGCGAUGGGAACCAGCCGCCCGUUUGGACGACGCCUCUGAAACCGACGGCCGGCCACCGAAACCAUGAAGAGCAGCCAGGCCCGCAAGGGCGGAGGGGGCUCCAAGGACUUCGGCACGGGACUCAAGUACAGCGCGCGGCCCGAGAGCAUGAAUGGCUGCGAGGAAGGUGUGGAGUUCCUGCCCGCCAACAAUGCCAGGAAGGUGGAGAAGCGGGGCCCGAAGCGCUGGGUGGUGCUGCUGACAGCGCUCGCCGGGGUCUGCGCGCUCUCCCUCGCGGCCGGCCUCCUGGUGUGGCACCUACAGUACCAGAACAUGCGGGUCCAGAAGGUCUUCAAUGGCUACCUGAGGAUCACAAAUGAGAACUUCCUGGAUGCUUAUGAGAACCCGAACUCCACUGAGUUUGCAAACCUGGCCAACAAAGUGAAGGAGGCGCUGAAGGUGUUAUACAGUAGGGUCCCAGCCCUGGGCCCCUACCACACGGAGUCUGCUGUGACUGCCUUCAGCGAGGGCAGUGUCAUCGCCUACUACUGGUCGAAGUUCAGCAUCCCCCAGUACCUGGUGGAGGAGGCCAAACGCGCCUUGGCACAGGAGCAGAAGGUCACUCUGCCGCCCCGGGCCCGCUCCCUGACCUCCUUUGAGCUCACCUCGGUGGUGGCCUUCCCCACUGACCCCCGAACAGUACAGACCACCCAGGACAACAGCUGCAGCUUUGCCCUGCAUGCCCAUGGUGGGGAGCUGACUCGCUUCACCACGCCUGGCUUCCCUGACAGCCCCUACCCAGCUGGUGCCCGCUGCCAGUGGACCCUGCGGGGGGAUGCUGACUCUGUGCUGAGCCUUACCUUCCGCAGCUUUGAUGUUGCCUCCUGCGACGACAGUGCCAGUGACCUGGUCAUGGUGUAUGACUCCCUGAGCCCUGUGGAGCCCCGUGCCCUGGUGCAGCUGUGCGGCACCUACCCGCCCUCCUACAACCUGACCUUCCUCUCCUCUCAGAACGUCCUGCUCGUCACGCUGAUAACCAACACUGAGCGGCGACAUCCUGGCUUUGAGGCCGUGUUCUUCCAGCUGCCAAAGAUGAGCAGCUGUGGAGGCUCCUUACGUGACGCCCAGGGGACAUUUAGCAGCCCCUAUUAUCCGGGCCACUACCCGCCCAACAUCAACUGCACAUGGGACAUUGAGGUGCCCAACAACAAAAAUGUGAAAGUCAUCUUCAAACUCUUCUACUUGUUGGAGCCCAGUGUGCCCCUGGGCAGCUGCCCCAAGGACUACGUGGAGGUCAACGGGGAGAAGUACUGUGGAGAGAGGCCCCAGUUUGUCGUUACCAGCAAUACCAGCAAGAUCACCGUCCGCUUCCAUUCGGAUCAGUCCUAUACCGACACGGGGUUCUUGGCUGAGUACCUCUCCUAUGAUUCCGGUGACCCGUGCCCCGGGAAGUUCACGUGUAACACAGGGCGGUGUAUCGGGAGCAAGCUGCGCUGCGAUGGCUGGGCCGACUGCGCCGACUACAGCGAUGAGCUCAACUGCAACUGCAAUACCACCUACCAGUUCACAUGCAAGAACAAGUUCUGCAAGCCUCUCUUCUGGGUCUGUGACACCGUGAAUGACUGUGGGGACAACAGUGAUGAGCUGGAGUGCCGCUGUCCAGCUCAGACCUUCAGGUGUGGCAAUGGGAAGUGCAUCCCGCAGAGCCAGCAGUGUGAUGGGGAGGACAACUGUGGGGACGCGUCUGAUGAGGCCACGUGCAAUAACGUGAGCAUAGUCACCUGUACCAAACACACGUAUCGCUGCCACAAUGGACUAUGUGUGAACAAGAAGGACCCUAAGUGUGAUGGGAAGAAGGACUGUAUCGAUGGCUCAGAUGAGAAGGAUUGUGACUGUGGGCUGCGGUCAUUCACCAGGCAGUCUCGGGUCGUCGGGGGCAAGAACGCAGAAGAAGGCGAGUGGCCCUGGCAGGUGAGCCUCCAUGUCCUGGGCCAGGGCCACGUGUGCGGGGCUUCGCUCAUCUCUCCCAACUGGAUGGUGUCCGCAGCUCACUGCUUCAUCCCUCAGAGCGGAAUCAGGUACUCGGACCCCGCCGUGUGGACCGCCUUCCUGGGCCUGCACGACCAGAGCAAGCGCAGCGCCCGCGGGGUGCAGGAGCACCAGCUCAAGCGCAUCAUCGUCCACCCGUCCUUCAAUGACUUCACCUUCGAUUAUGACAUCGCUCUGCUGGAGCUGCAGCAGCCGGCCGCGUACAGCAGCACCGUGCGGCCCAUCUGCCUGCCUGAUGCUUUGUAUGUCUUCCCGGCCGGCAAGGCCAUCUGGGUCACAGGCUGGGGCCACACCCAGGAGGGAGGCUCAGGAGCGCUGAUCCUGCAGAAGGGAGAGAUCCGCAUCAUCAACCAGACCACCUGCGAGAGCCUGCUGCCGCAGCAGGUCACCGAGAACAUGAUGUGCGUGGGCUACCUCAGCGGCGGCGUGGACGCCUGCCAGGGUGAUUCCGGGGGACCCCUGUCCAGUGUGGAGGCCGAUGGGCGCAUCUUCCAGGCUGGUGUGGUGAGCUGGGGUGACGGCUGCGCUCAGAGGAACAAGCCUGGCGUGUACACGAGGCUCCCUGUAUUUCGGGACUGGAUAAAGGAGCAGACUGGCGUGUAGAUGUGGGGCUGUCACCGGCCGCCUCAGCGUGCACACCUGCAGGCUGAGGGCAGGAUCACUAACCACACCCUGCCUUGGGGCCCCCCAGCCCCCAGACUGUGACCUGAAUCCCCAGGACUCUGGAGACGGCAGAUGGGCCCCCGUAGCCCCCACAGUGGGUCAGGGGGUGCGGAGCAAGGACGCUGACGGGGGCGGUGUUUGAGGAUACAGCCUCUCCUCCUAGCCCCAGCUGGGCCGAGGCCCUUUCCUGAAGUUGGACUUCCUCUGCCCCUCCCACACGGGAGCAGCCCUCACGUUGUCUCUGGGCCCCCUGGGGUGGGGCUGGUCAGGGCCCAGGGGCCCCAGGUCCCACUCUGCAGGAAGCCCAGGCCGGAGCACCCAGGAAGACAGUCAGGUCUAAGAUUUGAAUUGCUUUACCAGCUGCGGAAUGGGUUCAAUGUGUGCAUUUGUGUGUCAUGGUGCCUGGGUCCGGAGCAUUGGCACCCCUGGGAAGUCCCCGGCACAGAUCCUCGUGCUCCGCCCAGACGUCCUGCAUCAGAGCUCCGGCGGGGCCCAGCACUCUGCUUUCACCAGUCUUCCAGGGGCUUCUGCUGCACCUAAACUCUGAGAGACUCAGGUUCAGCAGUGUCUCUGCAGGCUGACAGCACCAGCCUUGCCGGCAGGGCCCAGGCCACACACCCAGGGCUCCGGUCUGCAGGCAUGUCCUGCAAGCCUCAGACUUGGUGCCUGGAAACUCAACAAAGUUUCAAUGCCUUUCAAAAGACUGGAGCUAAGUCCAGUGUUACUUCUGCUGGGAGGGAAGAAGAAUGGUCUGAGUCCUUAACUAGCUGGAAAUCAAACUCUUCUCUCUGAGGCUCGUCACUGAUGUCUCCAAUGAAGAGCAGUCACUGGUACUCAGAUGCUGCUGAGCUGACAAAGGGAGUGACAACCGGCCGCGUUCAUCCCUCCCUGCUGAGGACAUAUAGCGGGGGCCCCUGCAUCGACUGGGAUGCAUGCAGUGGGGCGAGAGGCCUGUGUGGGGCAACUGCUGGCCGACCUUUCCUUCACUCCAGGGAAGGGCUGUGGAGAAACCAAUGACCAAAACUGUUUGGCACACAUUUGCGUUUUCUGCCCAAGAACUCUACAACCUGUCCAAGUGUAUGAUGGGAAAUUGAACUUAAUGCAGUCUGCUGUGGUUGAAGCCAGGUCCACAGCACAGGAUGAACGUGCACCCCGGGGCGUACUCCUGCAGUCACACCCUGGAGUAAAGGAGGUGGGGACAGCAUGGUGGACCUCGUCGCACCCUCAGCAAGGCUGUCACCUGGGCAGUCACGAGACCUCUGCCCUGAAGGGCCCGGCACGUGUUUAAUGCUCUGUUACCUUUUUUAAAUUUGUAAUUUUUGAACAAGG